AGCAGCCGCGGUAAUUCCAGCUCCAAUAGCGUAUAUUAAAGUUGUUGCAGUUAAAAAGCUCGUAGUUGAACUUCGGGGUUUACCCAUUGGUCAGGCUUAAUUGUCUGUACUGGUGAGAUGAAUCUCUACCUUCUGAGGAACUUUCAUGCCAUUUAUUUGGUGUGAUGGGAAAUCAGGACUGUUACUUUGAAAAAAUUAGAGUGUUUAAAGCAGGCUAACGUCUGAAUACAUUAGCAUGGAAUAAUGAAAUAGGACGGACUGAUUCUAUUUCGUUGGUUUCUAGGAUCACCGUAAUGAUUAAUAGGGAUAGUUGGGGCAUUAGUAUUCAAUUGUCAGAGGUGAAGUUCUUGGAUUUAUUGAAGACUAACUACUGCGAAAGCAUUUGCCAAGGAUGUUUUCAUUAAUCAAGAACGAAAGUUAGGGGAUCGAAGACGAUCAGAUACCGUCGUAGUCUUAACCAUAAACUAUGCCGACUAGGGAUCGGACGAAGUUAAUUUUAUAAUGACGCGUUCGGCACCUUACG
rnacentral:rRNA from 1 species